rnacentral:rRNA from 1 species
UACAUGGGGUGCAAACGUUGCUCGGAAUUAUUGGGCGUAAAGCGCACGUAGGCGGUUUGUUAAGUCGGAUGUGAAAUCCCUCGGCUCAACUGAGGAAGUGCGCCCGAAACUGGCAGGCUUGAGUACUAAAGAGGGUCGCGGAAUUCCCGGUGUAGAGGUGAAAUUCGUAGAUAUCGGGAGGAACACCGGUGGCGAAGGCGGCGACCUGGGUAGAUACUGACGCUGAGGUGCGAAAGCGUGGGGAGCAAACAGG